rnacentral:rRNA from 1 species
CCUACGGGUGGCAGCAGUAGGGAAUAUUGCUCAAUGGGGGAAACCCUGAAGCAGCAACGCCGCGUGGAGGAUGAAGGUUUUCGGAUGGUAAACUCCUUUUGGUAGAGAAGAGAAGGACGGUAGCUAAAGAAUAAGCACCGGCUAACGCCGUGCCAGCAGCCGCGGUAAUACGGAGGGUGCAAGCGUUACGCGGAAUCACUGGGCGUAAAGAGCGCGUAGGCGGGAUAGCAAGUCAGAUGUGAAAUCCUAUGGUUUAACCAUAGAACUGCAUUUGAAACUGUUAUUCUAGAGUAUGGGAGAGGUAGGUGGCAUUCUUGUUGUAGCGGUCCUAUCCGU